rnacentral:rRNA from 1 species
UACGAAGGGGGCUAGCGUUGCUCGGAAUUACUGGGCGUAAAGCGCACGUAGGCGGCUUCUUAAGUCGGUGGUGAAAUCCUGGAGCUCAACUCCAGAACUGCCUUCGAUACUGGGAAGCUCGAGUCCGGGAGAGGUGAGUGGAACUGCGAGUGUAGAGGUGAAAUGCGCAGAUAUCAGGAGGAACACCGGUGGCGAAGGCGGGUCUCUGGGCCGAUACUGACGCUGAGGAGCGAAAGCGUGGGGAGCGAACAGG